CCUCAUGAAUGAAGUCGGCUACAAAUAACUUAUCAACUUCUUUGUCGAUGGCCUUCUAUCGCUCGAGAAUGAAACUUCUUUUCUUUUAUCUCACCGAUUUGUGCUUUGUGUCGAUGUUUAAUCAAUAGACAAUCACAUCAGAAAGGAUGCCCAGCAUAUCUGAGGCAGACCAGACGAAAACAUCAAUAUUCUUCCUCAGAAAGGUCACAAGUUUCUCCCAUAGAUCGUCGCUUAAAAAAGAUCUGACUUGAAUAGUUUUAGUCGGAUCUUCGUCAUUAAGGGAUAUAGAGGUGAGUUAUUCCAUGGGUUCUCUCCGACUUUCUUCUUCUCUCUGGUCCAAUCCAUCAAUAGGAAGAGCUUCAAUUGGCUUCUUUUCUUUGAUCACAGUUAAGUAGCAAUAUCAGACCAAUUAUUGAUUUUUCCUCAUUUCACCAGUCCCAUUCCUUGUCAGGAAGUGCACGAGUAAGUGAUAUGUUGAAAUAAUUGCUCGAAGAGCAUUUAGUCCAGAUCGUCUCAAGAUAACAUUAUAGGCAGA
rnacentral:lncRNA from 1 species